UUCUCUGUCGUCUAAUCGGUAGGACAGCGGAUUUUGAUUCCGCCAAUCUAGGUUCGAGCCCUAGCGGGGAAGCCA
rnacentral:tRNA from 1 species